CACACAUAAGCACGUAGUGGCUGAUCUCUUUUGGUGGAGAGAGCUGAUUGCGUUUAAGUUCGGUUUAUGGAACUGACUUACAAAUUGUCGUCAUUUUGAUGCUUUUAGUAAAGGAAUAUUGUGUAUGUUCACUCGUAACGUUGUCUUGCAAACGUGAAAAACAUUGAAGAAAACACUCAACAUCUUGGAGUCCCUUCACACGAACCAUAAAAUAUAUUUGCCGAGAGCUACGUCGACACUAUCAUUGAAAAGAACAAUGACGAUGAAGUGAAGGUGGGUCUACUGACAGUGGACUGACCGCCAUUAAGGCUAAAGAUAACGAUGUCCUCCUAUUAGAUAAACUACUUUCUUCAAUCGAUGAUGUAAUAAAAAACCCUCAUGAAAUUGUUGAACCAACUGAACCACAAGAGGAAUCCGAUAAAGCCACCACAAGAAAGAGCAAGUCUGCACUGAGUUCUAUAAUACGUGCACUUCGUCUGUCAAAGACGCAAAAAGCCAUUCUUCCAUAUUUUUGUAAUAUCGUGCAAAAUACACAGCAGCAGAUAUCCAAUCGAUUCAUACAAUUCGAUCUGCAGUUGGUUUGGUUUUUCGACCUAAAACAAAGAAAUGAUGCCACAGUCUUCUGGACCAACGGAUGCGUUUGGGUUGGGGAAUUCAUAGUUGGUGCCAUUGGUGAAUCAAAUUAGGUAAAUGUUAUAGAUGUAAACAAAAGGGCAGUGGUUUCCACGUUCUUCUGAGAUUCGCAACCACUUUCUAUUACUGCAAUUGCAGAUGGGGCGUAUCUGAAUGUUUGCUUACCCGACUCAUGCAGAAUAGACGUUUGGACAAUUUUCAACGGAUGUUUUACAUGUGUACUCGAAAUUGACUGCGAAGUUCCUAUUUAUGACGUUGUGCAUUUAUACGGCUGUGAAUUUUACGGAUCGGCCUCGUUAACAGGUAAACUGCAUAAAAUAAAGUUACAGGGGCUGAAACUGUCGAAAGUUUUAACGAGUGAAAGAAUCGGAAAAGUGUUGAGAAACUCGUACAAGCUUACGUUUAACAAACGAUUGUCAAUAUUAUAUGUAUCAUGUUCCAAAAGAAACGAAGUGGUGGGGAUUACAGCGAAUGGGAAGGACGCUUUCACAUAUGUUCACGAGGAUCUUCACAAUCCGUUCCAGGCGACAGUGCACAACUCCGGUUAAGUCUUCUUGACAAGCGCAGACAGUAACGUUCUGCACUUGGUCACCGAAUCCCUGGAACACACAACAACACUUCUGAGCGGACAAGUGUUGGCCUCGUGCUAUUAGCGUCAGCGACACUCAGGAUAAGUUAGCUGUGGUUGAUUCUACCCCCGGUAAAGAGUUGCGUACAAUCUACAAAUAAUAGCUACAUCUUAAAUAUGUGGUACUUUUAAGUACGGAAACUACGCAUUAAAAAAGAUUUUUAUUGAAAUUUUGUCAAACAUAAACAUCACUCAAAACAUGUUGUGAUCAUUAUCAAAUUUGAUAUCAAAUUAAAAUGUGACUGGCAAAGCAUAGCAACGUGUAACUGUAAAGACUUAUAAUAGUUUACGCCCAAUGGCUAGAAAGGUUCAUUUAAUUAACAUGAUGUUAACGUUUUAAUGCGAAUCUAAUGAAGUACAUUGUUUUAAACAAAAUUUGUUCAAUCUGAUUUAAAUUAUUUCUGCGAAGUCAAUACUAAACAAAACGAUAUGCAAGGUCUAGACCAUUUAUACACAAAAUCAUUAUGUUUUAAGAUAUAAAUAUCGACACUUGCAUAUUAAAAGGGGCAUGUAUUGUAUAUUUAUCAUGAUAUGUACAUUCUGUUUUUAUGGUUAUCAUUACUUGAAGAUUAAUUGAAUAUGAAAAUAUCAAAACUUUAAUUUUGCCUAACAGGCAUAUUAGAAAUUAGUUGUACUAAGAAUAUAUCGUAGCUAACCCGACUUGUUAAGAAGACCCUGAAGGCCACCUGUUUUACACAAAUGUUGGCUAAUAAAUAAAAACAUAAAUAAAUGCAUGAAUUAAUUUUAAUAAAAUUUGUUGACUUCUUUACCAAAUAAAACUUUAAGUAAGCCAUCAAACUCAGAAUGUACAUCAUCCUGUUUAUUUUUUUUCACAAAAAUGUCCAUUUUAUGUCCGAAGUGUAUCAUUGUCAUAUUUAAUCUAUACCCCCAGUACAAAUAAGCUAAAUUAA